UACGUAGGGGGCAAGCGUUGUCCGGAAUCAUUGGGCGUAAAGGAGCGUGUAGGCGGCCCGAUAAGUCCGCCGUGAAAGUCCAGGGCUCAACCCUGGAAUGCCGGUGGAAACUGUCGGGCUGGAGUCCGGAAGAGGGCGAGUGGAAUUCCUGGUGUAGACGGUGAAAUGCGCAGAUAUCAGGAGGAACACCUAUUGCGAAGGCAGCUCGCUGGGACGUAACUGACGCUGGAGACGCGAAAGCGUGGGGAGCGAACAGG
rnacentral:rRNA from 1 species